rnacentral:rRNA from 1 species
AAAACAGCCACUGGGAUUACCUUAGUAACGGCGAGUGAAGCGGUAAAAGCUCAAAUUUGAAAUCUGGUACUUUCAGUGCCCGAGUUGUAAUUUGUAGAAUUUGUCUUUGAUUAGGUCCUUGUCUAUGUUCCUUGGAACAGGACGUCAUAGAGGGUGAGAAUCCCGUUUGGCGAGGAUACCUUUUCUCUGUAAGACUUUUUCGAAGAGUCGAGUUGUUUGGGAAUGCAGCUCAAAGUGGGUGGUAAAUUCCAUCUAAAGCUAAAUAUUGGCGAGAGACCGAUAGCGAACAAGUACAGUGAUGGAAAGAUGAAAAGAACUUUGAAAAGAGAGUGAAAAAGUACGUGAAAUUGUUGAAAGGGAAGGGCAUUUGAUCAGACAUGGUGUUUUUUGUAUGCACUCGCCUCUCGUGGGCUUGGGCCUCUCAAAAAUUUCACUGGGCCAACAUCAAUUCUGGCAGUAGGAUAAAUCAUUAAGAAUGUAGCUACUUCGGUAGUGUUAUAGCUUAUUGGAAUACUACUAGCUGGGAUUGAGGACUGCGCUUCGGCAAGGAUGUUGGCAUAAUGGUUAAAUGCCGCCCGUCUUGAAACACGGACCAAGGAGUCUAACGUCUAUGCGAGUGUUUGGGUGUAAAACCCGUACGCGUAAUGAAAGUGAACGUAGGUUGGGGCCUUCGGGUGCACAAUCGACCGACCUUGAUGUUUUCGGAUAGGUUUGAGUAAGAGCAUAGC